rnacentral:rRNA from 1 species
UACGAAGGGGGCUAGCGUUGCUCGGAAUUACUGGGCGUAAAGCGCACGUAGGCGGCUCUUUAAGUCGGGGUGAAAUCCUGGAGCUCAACUCCAGAACUGCCUUCGAUACUGGAGAGCUUGAGUUCGGGAGAGGUGAGUGGAACUGCGAGUGUAGAGGUGAAAUUCGUAGAUAUUCGCAAGAACACCAGUGGCGAAGGCGGCUCACUGGCCCGGUACUGACGCUGAGGUGCGAAAGCCGUGGGGAGCAAACAGGG